ensembl:lincRNA
GGGCUCAGCCCCCACCAGCCCGCCUAGGGAGCGGCUGGUCCCUGAGCCCCAACAAGCUAUUACUUUCUGGAGAUUCUUGCUUCUCCCUGCUGCUCUCAUCCCUCUUGGAGCUCUCCAUCUGGACCCCUGGUCCCAGUCCCUAGAAGAGACAUGGAAGAAUUUUUGCAACGCGCCAAAUCUAAACUGGAUCGAAGUAAACGAUUGGAGAAGGUCCAUGCAGUUAUUGGACCUAAGUCAUGUGACUUGGAUUCUCUGAUUUCUGCCUUCACAUAUGCAUACUUUCUGGACAAGGUCAGUCCACCUGGGGUCCUCUGCUUGCCAGUGAUGAACAUCCCAAGAACUGAAUUCAGCUACUUCACAGAGACAAGGUUUAUUUUAGAAGAGCUGAACAUCUCUGAAUCAUCCCACAUAUUCCGAGAUGAAAUUAACCUGCAUCAGCUGAACGAUGAAGGAAAACUGUCCAUAACGCUUGUGGGCAGCCACGUCCUGGGGAGUGAGGACAGAAGUUUGGAAGCGGCGGUUGUCAGAGUCAUUAACCCCGAUGAGCAGAGCGAUGGCGAGCUGGGGUUGCCUGAGUCUUCUUCCUCGCUGGUGCUGAAGGAGCUCCUGCGCGAGGCCCCCGAGCUCAUCACCCAGCAGCUGGCACAUCUCCUCAGAGGUGAGGGCGACACUGCCAGAGUAAAGACGGGAGGCUUAAUGGGCUGGUUCUGGGCCUGCUCAUGCAGAAAGAGUGCGAUCCAUUCUUGGGUUAACAAUCCCUUUAAAGACCCCGGGAGCUCCAUCAGAGAGGCAGGGAGUAAAGGGUUUGUUAAAGAGUAGCAUUAUAUUGAAUAUUAAAAAUGUGCAUUUAGAAACAGGCACAAGGGCCUGUGCUGUUUCACUAGACAAGAAUGUUAAAUGGGGCUGCUGCAUCGUGGUUGCAGAGAGAGCUGCUCCUCAAGCUGUGUUAAUAGCCUCCAAAGGAGAUUCUCGCCUGUGACAGCGAGAGUGCAGAUCAGAAUUCCCUGUUUCUGUGGCCUUGGAGUAUCCCCUUAUCCUUAUGCAUGCUUGGCUUAUAGAAUCCUGCCUGCCAGGCAAAAUGUUCACCUUUGUUUCAAUGAUAUGAUGGAGGGCCCUGCAGCUUGAUCUUUCACUGGUUGCAGUUAACAAGGACUUCCUUUUCUGCAUGGUAUUGUCACAAUCAACCUUCGGUAUCCAUGGCCUCCACCUCACGAACACAACCAAAACAAUCACUUUAAACUGUUUGUAUCAACACAGUGAAGGAUCUUGUAGAUCUUGCCUUUUGCUCUAGCUGCCUCACUGGCAAUCGGUCUUAAGUGUAUUUGUUCUUACUUUUCCUUCUCCUAGAGCACACUUGGUAUUUGUUAUUUUUGUAUAUAGUUUUGUAUCAAGCCUAAAUCUUUUCUUUAGAUUAAAAGGGGAACUAUUGUGAGAUACCCACCCCACCAGCACCUGUAGCGGGCAUGGUCAUGGGUGCAGACAUGACGGGGUGGGUUUAGGUCUGGGAUUAGGACAGGUGACUGUGGCUCUCUUGCUUCUGGUCGGGUGACAGAGGGCAGCCUGGGUGAGUCCUUGGAGCUGGAACUUGCGGCAGUUACCCAGUUCUUGUAUGAGUGCAUUCUCCCUGAAUAAACUUCACUUAACCUGUACUGAGUCUAGUGAAUCUUGAUUCCCACGCAAUAGGAGGAUCUCUCAUUGUUUUUCUCCAAAAAAAAGUCAGCAUAACAAUUUAUGUUGUUUCCCCAUUGUACUAAUUAAGGCCAGGGGUUAUACUAAGUGUCGUAAGUGAUAUUAAGUAUUGUAAGGUGUAUGAACUAUAUCUGAGGAUGUGACAGAAUGCAGACAAACACUGCAUCAUCUUCCACAUGGGUCUAGGGCAUCCACAGAUUUUGGUAUCCAUGUGCAUCCUGGACAUGACUUCCUACAGAUACAAUUUGGCAUUGCUGGAGCCCAAUGCUUCCAAAAAAUGGCUUUCACCUUAGAAAGUGGCCAUCAACUUUGGUGCUACAAAAUGAGCACAACCAUUUAGUUACUUUUGCAUGUGGGACAUGCAAAAUAUUUUUGGUUUUGUAUGAAGCUUUUUUAUUCUUUUCACAAUUCACUUUCAACCUUCUAGGCACAAAUUAUCCUCAAAAUGUUUACUACAGGACUGUCAGUCAAGAGACAGUCUGAUGGAACAGAAAAUAGGGAGGCUGAGGAUGGACUGGCUCAGUGUUUCCAAGGACUUCCUUUUCUGCCUCACUAGCUACCACACUUUAGAGGGGGAAAGUCCAAGAGUUACACUGUUCCUCUAAAAGUUCUAGAACCAUGGCCCCAGGAAACUGGUCAUAAAUGUUAUGAUGACAAUGGAUGUCUGUAAUGAUGCUGUCUUUGAAAUGGUACCUUCGGCUAACCCAAGGAAUUGUAAUCGUUUUUCUUUGUGGUAAAGCAGACAGAAAAUAAAAGCAAUCAGGAAUCUCAGCUUAGGGAAAGUUGUGUAGCAAUUCAAAUGUGUUGUUCAGACAAGCACUAAAAAACAUGUUGUUUACAUAUGUUAGAAACUGAGUAGCUUGUUGUUCUAAAAGUCCAACACACACAUUAUUAGUGAGAAGAUAUAGUCAAAGCAGAACUCAUCAUCACGAGGUUUUACAAACAGAAAAAUAACAUGAAGCUGUAACACAUCAGUACAAUGAUGUACUUUGGUUACACUGCUGCUACUGCUAAUAAUGACAAUGAUGACAAUGAUGGCGGUGAUGAUGAUGCUCAGAUUUGGAGAACUAGAGGCAACUACUCUUCUAGUUGUCCCUUCAGCAUGUUUAGUAGAAACCUGUGGCCAGGGUGCCUCUGUGUGCUGCUUAUGUGCAUGUAUGUGGAGAUGAGAUGAAACAUCCUCUAACGGAGGGAACUGAAGGAUGGGGAACCAAACAACCUGCCUUUGAAGAGAUGCCUCAGAUGUUCAGAGUCACACGACUUUGCUGAUAUUUUGGAGCAAUAGAUGAAUUUUGUAAAGUUCUCAAAUCUUUAGAUAUUUAAGAAAGAAUUUGAGUCAGUUUUCUCUGUUCACUGAAGUCAAACUUAGAUUUCAUAGUUCUCCAAUCAUAUAUACCAUCGAGUAUAAAGGACAUGUUUUCUGUCUUCCUCUAAGUGGUGUUAGCAUCCUUUAAUUCUCAAUGGGAACUGUAAUCUUUCAAAACAGUCUUCCUCAGUAACUGUGAAGUUACUUUAAUGUGAACUUGACACAUUUUUCAGACACGUUAUCUAUGUACUCUUCUACAUCUUAAAAAUACAAAGGAAAAUUAAAUA